rnacentral:rRNA from 1 species
CUUAAGCAUAUCAAUAAGCGGAGGAAAAGAAACCAACAGGGAUUGCCUCAGUAACGGCGAGUGAAGCGGCAACAGCUCAAAUUUGAAAUCUGGCCUCGGCCCGAGUUGUAAUUUGCAGAGGAUGCUUCUGGCAACGUGCCUUCCGAGUCCCCUGGAACGGGGCGCCGGAGAGGGUGAGAGCCCCGUACGGUUGGACGCCGCGCCUGUGUGAAGCUCCUUCGACGAGUCGAGUAGUUUGGGAAUGCUGCUCUAAGCGGGAGGUAAAUUCCUUCUAAAGCUAAAUACCGGCCAGAGACCGAUAGCGCACAAGUAGAGUGAUCGAAAGAUGAAAAGCACUUUGGAAAGAGGGUUAAAAAGUACGUGAAAUUGCUGAAAGGGAAGCGCCUGCGACCAGACUCGCGCCGGGCGAAUCAUCCAGCGUUCUCGCUGGUGCACUUCGCCCGGUCCGGGCCAGCAUCGGUUCUGACGGGGGGACAAAAGCCCGGGAAAUGUAGCUCCCUCCGGGGAGUGUUAUAGUCCCUCGCCUAAUACCCCCGCCGGGACCGAGGACCGCGCUUUACGCAAGGAUGCUGGCAUAAUGGUCGUCGGCGACCCGUCUUGAAACACGGACCAAGGAGUCGAACAUUUGUGCGAGUGUUUGGGUGGAAAACCCUCACGCGCAAUGAAAGUGAACUUUGGUGGGAGCCUCGGCGCACCACCGACCGAUCCUGAAGUUUUCGGAUGGAUUUGAGUAGGAGCAUAACUGUUCGGACCCGAAAGAUGGUGAACUAUGCCUGUGUAGGGUGAAGCCAGAGGAAACUCUGGUGGAGGCUCGCAGCGGUUCUGACGUGCAAAUCGAUCGUCAAACAUGGGCAUGGGGGCGAAAGACUAAUCGAACCAUCUAGUAGCUGGUUUCCGCCGAAGUU